UCGAACGGCAAGAGAGGAGCUUGCUUCUCUCCUAGAGUGGCGGACUGGUGAGGAACACGUGGGUAAUCUACCCUUAAGAUGGGGAUAGCUGCUAGAAAUAGCAGGUAAUACCGAAUACACUCAGUGCUUCAUAAGAGGUAUUGAGGAAAGGAAGCUAUGGCUUCGCUUAAGGAUGAGCUUGCGUCCCAUUAGCUAGUUGGUGAGGUAACGGCCCACCAAGGCGACGAUGGGUAUCCGGCCUGAGAGGGUGAACGGACACAUUGGGACUGAGAUACGGCCCAAACUCCUACGGGAGGCAGCAGCUAAGAAUAUUCCGCAAUGGACGGAAGUCUGACGGAGCGACGCCGCGUAGAUGAAGAAGGCUGAAAAGUUGUAAAAUCCUUUUGUUGAUGAAGAAUAAGGGGAAGAAGGGAAUGCUUCUUCUG
rnacentral:rRNA from 1 species